rnacentral:rRNA from 1 species
GAUGAACGCUGGCGGCGUGCCUAACACAUGCAAGUCGAACGGAGAUUACGGACGGAAGUUUUCGGAUGGAAGACUGUAAUUCUUAGUGGCGGACGGGUGAGUAACGCGUGGGCAACCUGCCCUAUACAGGGGGAUAGCAGCUGGAAACGGCUGGUAAGACCGCAUAAGUCGGCGAGACCGCAUGGUUUUGCCGGGAAAUGAGCAAUCAGGUAUAGGAUGGGCCCGCGUCCGAUUAGCCAGUUGGCAGGGUAAAAGCCUACCAAAGCAACGAUCGGUAGCCGGACUGAGAGGUCGGACGGCCACAUUGGGACUGAGACACGGCCCAAACUCCUACGGGAGGCAGCAGUGGGGGAUAUUGCACAAUGGAGGAAACUCUGAUGCAGCGACGCCGCGUGAGUGAAGAAGUAUUUCGGUAUGUAAAGCUCUAUCAGCAGGGAAGAUGAUGACGGUACCUGGCUAAGAAGCCCCGGCUAACUACGUG